AAAAAUCCUGUCCUUCUCCUCCUCCUGUGCAAAGCUGCCGGGUCCCACCUCUGUCUGCAGAGACUGAAGCCCGGGCAGUGUCGGAGUUCCAGAGAGCAGGAGGGGAACACGCGUGUGCAUGCACACACGUACACUUAGCCCAGCCCUUCUCACCAACACGUGCUCACGGUUCUGGUGACCCACUGCAAUCCCUCCCGUGACCGGAAUGGGAGAACCUCCUGGACCCCGCAGCCUCGUCAGCCUACACCCCGGAUUCACUGCUGCCCCACAGGAGUCUCUUGAGCGAGCCGCCUGGACCUCUGGCCCCGAGUCCCUUUACUCCCACACUUUCUCAGCCCCACUCCCAACUGGCUUUCCCGGCACCGUUUCCCGAAACCACCUUCGUCAAGGUUCCCACGUCUGCCAUGCUGAAAGCCUCGCUGGGCCUCAUCCCUCAGCAGCACUGGAGGUGCGGACCGCUCCUCUCUCCAGAGACACUGUCCUCUCUCGGUCUGGUCAAGCCACACUCUGUUCGUUCCCUGGCUUCGUUGGAAGUUCCUUCUACAUCUGCGUUACUGUCUCCUCCCCUCUCCCCAACCUGUAGAUGCUAGAGGUCCCCAAAGCCCAGUCCUUGGACCCUCUCUUCUGUGGCUAUCUUCACUACCUCAAGGUUCUCAGUCUCAAUUUUAAAAUAGCAGCUGUAUGUGGGCCAACCCCAAGUUCGAUCUCCAUCCCGGGCUCUUCCCCACAAUUCCGCGGUCUGCACGCCUCAUACGCACGAGUCGAGCUUGACCUCCCCCUCCCCAUGGUCCCCAUCAAACUGUCCCUCUUGAGGUCUUCCGCAUCUCAGGAAACACCCCUGCCCACAGGCCAGGGCUCAGCCCUACACCUGGGGUGACACCUUUCUGUCCACUGCAAACGAUCAAGCAGGAAGUCCUGUCGGCUGCACCUUCAACACGUGCCCAGAACCCAACCACCUUGACCAACUCACCGCUCCCACCUGGGUCCGGCCCCCACGACGUUCCCGUCUCCCUGCUUCUGCCCCCGCCCCUACAGUCCGUCCUCUCCGAGUAAAAUCCAGAGUUCCGACGUGGCCCGUUGGCCCUGCCUGACGUGGACCCCCGAAUCUUGGGUCCUCACGUCCUGCUUCACCGUCCUCGCUUGUUCUCUGCUGGUCACAAGGGUCCCUGCUGUCCCUUAAACAUCCAGUUCUGGCCUCAAGGAAUUUGCACUGGCUGUUCCUUCCGCAAGGACGCCGUUCCCUGCACACCCCAUGGAGGUCUCCCCUCCUUCAGGGUCACGUUCUCAGGGAAGCCCCCGCUUUGCACUCCCCAUCCCCUGACCUGGCUUUGCCCUUCGCUGUCUCAGAGUCCCGACGCGGCCAUCAUGCACGGUCUGCCUCCCGCCCCAGGACGUCGUCUCCAGGCAGACCUCACCUGUUGCCGAAUCAUCUCCUGCACCCAGAGCGUGAGGACACACAGUAGGACUGUGACAGAGGCGCACCUCGCGGACGAGCCAACGUGUCGUGACAGCGGUCGCCAACAGAGCUAAAGAGGGAGUGGAGGCACGGAGGCAGAGACCAGGGCACCCGCGGGGGGGGGUUCCGGAGCAGGUGGGCACACAGAGCCCUCCCGUCCCACACCCUCCGCUGCACGUGUGCUCACUCCAGAUGCAAGGGGGGGACGGCCCGCGGCGAGUCUGCAGGCGGAGGGUGGUGGCCUGCCCAGUGCUGGGCUGGAACGCGCCCCUUCCAGCUGCUGCCGGCUCACGAGUGCACGAGUGCCGACCCGGAACAUCGUUUUCCGACUCCACGUUUGGUGACCUCACCUUGGCAGCAUGAGAUCGGCCAGGGUGGGAGCAUCCACACCCCACGAACUGGCAAGUGCCACCCUUCAGGGCUGGGUCUGUCCCCGGAGAGCUGGCUGUUAAGACCCUGGGUCCCACGUCCCGGCAGAGAAGCGGUACCGAGCAUGACCGUCUGCAAAGCCAGAGUUAAGUGCGGCCCGAGCAGCUUUACGGAGCCCCUCCUCCGAGCCUGCGUUUGAACGGGAACGAGGUGCAGGCUGUGUCCGCGAGGAGCUUCUGGCCCGGCAGGAGCCAGCCACGCCCAGAAGACACUACCAGAGGCUGGAUGGAAGGCGCCACCACUGGGUUCUGCUCGCUACCAACGCGAAGGCUCCUUCGGUCUUGGAACAGCUCUGCCAGAAAGCUCCUCCAGGCACUGAGCUGAAACCUGCCUUCUGGAAACUUCUACCCAGCACCCGGCUCAGCCUCGGGGCCUGCACCCCUGCAGUCCACGGACUCACGCUCCCGUGGCUGACGCUCCAAGGAGCAGAGGAUCCACACGGCUACACCUGCCACUGUUGCUCCCGGUGCACGUCCAGGAACGUGCUGUGGUUGCUCCCGUCUUACGGGUGAGAGAAGGCAGGCGAGCAGCCGUGCCUGAACCCAGGCCGGCGUCCUGGACUGUCGCCACGGCUACAGCACGUUCCCUUUCCCAGGUGCAGGGGGGGUCUGGUAUGGGGGCCACGGAAGGGAGCGUCACGGAGCAAGGGGACCACUUGGGACAACGCCACGAACCUUGGGAAAGCAUCCGGACGCUCGGGGUGGGUGACAGACAGGAAAGGGGUGGAGGAGAGCGUCCCUCGGGGCAUAGAGGAAAAUCACUAACACAUUUCGUUGUCUUCUCGGAGGGAACCUUCCUGUUUUCUUAAUGUGCCAAUCAUGGGAAGGUGAAGUUUUGGGGAAAAAGACGACGAAAGUAUGAGAAGGCACGGGGACGAAGCCGGGUGCAGGAUGAUGUCAAGGGGACAGGUG